UCCGUAGGCGGUGUGGCAAGUCGGAAGUGAAGUCUCUGGGCUUAACCCAGAGGCUGCUUCCGAAACUGCCGUGCUAGAGUGUGAGAGAGGCGAGUGGAAUUGCGGGUGUAGCGGUGAAAUGCGUAGAUAUCCGCAGGAACAUCCGAGGCGAAAGCGGCUCGCUGGAUCACAACUGACGCUGAGGGACGAAAGCUAGGGGAGCAAACAGGAUUAGAUACCCUGGUAGUCCUAGCCCUAAACCAUCAGGACUUGGGGUUUGCCCUGUACGGGGCAAGUCCCGUAGCUAACGCGUUAAGUCCUGCGCCUGGGGAGUACGGUCGCAAGGCUGAA
rnacentral:rRNA from 1 species